UGAACUAGAGUCAGUUGACGAAGAAUCAUCAUCGCUGGAUUCUUCUUUUUUAGAGGCAGCAACAGGCGCCUUCUUAACAACAGGCGCCUUCUUAACAACAGGCGCCUUCUGAACAACAGCAUCAUCCUCAGAGCUGCUAUCAUCCUCAUCACUUGACUCAUCUUUCUUAGAGCCAUUAGUUGGAGGUUUCUUGGGUGCAGGUUCAUCUUCCUCAGAGCUGCUAUCAUCCGACUCAUCACUUGACUCAUCUUUCUUCUUAGCAGCAACACCAUUCUUGGUUGAAACCACAACAACCUUCUUAGAAGGAGCCU
rnacentral:lncRNA from 1 species